ensembl:miRNA mdo-mir-7314 mdo-mir-7314
UCAGAAACAGUGUCUCAUGAGAAGUCAUCUGUCAAGGAGGAAUUUUCAAAGGCACUGAUUUCUGAAG